UCUUUACUAUUUAUCUGGCAUUAUAUGCUCAUAAUGUUAACAACAAAAAGUGCUGAUAAUGUUAUAAUUAAUAAGUUCUAACAUUAUUUUUAUGUGUUUUGUUGCAGACACCAACUGUUGAUGUUCUAUCUCAACAUUCUCCAGACUCAUGUGAGCGAUAAACCGACUUCAUCCCUCCAACAGACACCAACUGUUGGGGUUCUAUCUCAACAUUCUCCAGAUUCAGAUGUGAGCGAUAAACCGACUUCAUCCCUCCAACAGAAACCAACUGUUGAGGUUCCAUCUCAACAUUCUCCAGAUUCAGAUGUGAGCCAUUAACUGACUUCAUCCCUCCAACAGAAACCAACUGUUGAGGUUCUAUCUCAACAUUCUCUAGAUUCAGAUGACAGCCAUAAACCGACUUCAUCCCUCCAACAGGUUAUUACAUGUCUAUUUUUAUUAUAUCUGCUCUAAAUUUGACCCAACCUAUAUUUUGAAAGACAUUUAUUAAUUUUAAUCUCUCACAGAUCAGUUUAUAUGACAACAUUUUCGUAAGGGUACAUCCAUGUUAGUCAGUAGGGAGUUUGGAACUCAUGUUUAGCAAAACAGGAGAUGUUACAAGUCAACAACAUAAAUUCUACAUGUGAGCACUCGUCAUGUCCUCAUAUUGUUUGAACCAAGAAAGACCUAGGUGUGUUUCAUAUAAGGUCCUCAUAUUUUCUGAACCAGAUUAGUGUGUGUUAAAAUGUUAAUGUCAAAGCUUUAAAAUGAGUGUUUCAAUUCAGAAAAUGCAGUGCCUCUUGUUUACAGCCGGUUUCUGCAGCGCUGUUUUCAUUGAUC